GAUGAACGCUGGCGGCGUGCUUAACACAUGCAAGUCGAACGAAGCACUUUACUUGAUUUUCUUCGGAACUGAUUGUAUUGUGACUGAGUGGCGGACGGGUGAGUAACGCGUGGAUAACCUGCCUCACACAGGGGGAUAACAGUUGGAAACGGCUGCUAAUACCGCAUAAGCGCACAGCACCGCAUGGUGCAGUGUGAAAAACUCCGGUGGUGUGAGAUGGAUCCGCGUCUGAUUAGGCAGUUGCGGGUAACGGCCACAACCGACGAUCAGUAGCCGGCCUGAGAGGGCGACGCACAUUGGGACUGAGACACGGCCCAGACUCCUACGGGAGCAGCAGU
rnacentral:rRNA from 1 species